UACGUAGGGUCCGAGCGUUGUCCGGAAUUACUGGGCGUAAAGAGCUCGUAGGUGGUUUGUCGCGUUGUUCGUGAAAACUCACAGCUUAACUGUGGGCGUGCGGGCGAUACGGGCAGACUUGAGUACUGCAGGGGAGACUGGAAUUCCUGGUGUAGCGGUGGAAUGCGCAGAUAUCAGGAGGAACACCGGUGGCGAAGGCGGGUCUCUGGGCCGGAACUGACGCUGAGGAGCGAAAGCGUGGGGAGCAAACAGG
rnacentral:rRNA from 1 species